rnacentral:rRNA from 1 species
CCUACGGGAGGCAGCAGUGAGGAAUAUUGGUCAAUGGUCGAAAGCCUGAACCAGCCAAGUCGCGUGAAGGAAGACGGUCCUAUGGAUUGUAAACUGCUUUUGUCGGGGAGCAAAAUGCGGUACGUGUACCGCAUCGAGAGUACCCCGUGAAUAAGCACCGGCUAACUCCGUGCCAGCAGCCGCGGUAAUACGGAGGGUGCGGGCGUUAUCCGGAUUUCUUGGGGUUAAAGGGUGCGUAGGCGGGAAGUCAAGUCUGCCGUGAAAAUUAGAGGGUCAACCUCGUCCGAGCGGUGGAAACUGGUUUUCUUGAGUGAGCGAGAGGUAUGCGGAAUGCGUGGUGUAGCGGUGAAAUGCUUAGAUAUCACGAAGAACUCCGAUUGCGAAGGCAGCAUACGGGGGCUCAACUGACGCUGAGGCGCGAAAGCGUGGGGAGCAAACAGGAUUAGAUACCCGAGUAGUC